rnacentral:rRNA from 1 species
UGGGGAAUUUUGGACAAUGGGCGAAAGCCUGAUCCAGCAAUGCCGCGUGUGUGAAGAAGGCCUUCGGGUUGUAAAGCACUUUUGUCCGGAAAGAAAUCCUUGGCUCUAAUACCCCGCGGAACUGACGGUACCUGCAGAAUAAGCACCGGCUAACUACGUGCCAGCAGCCGCGGUAAUACGUAGGGUGCAAGCGUUAAUCGGAAUUACUGGGCGUAAAGCGUGCGCAGGCGGUUCGGAAAGAAAGAUGUGAAAUCCCAGAGCUUAACUUUGGAACUGCAUUUUUAACUACCGGGCUAGAGUGUGUCAGAGGGAGGUGGAAUUCCGCGUGUAGCAGUGAAAUGCGUAGAUAUGCGGAGGAACACCGAUGGCGAAGGCAGCCUCCUGGGAUAACACUGACGCUCAUGCACGAAAGCGUGGGGAGCAAACAGGAUUAGAUACCCUGGUAGUCCACGCCCUAAACGAUGUCAACUAGCUGUUGGGGUCUUCGGACCUUGGUAGCGCAGCUAACGCGUGAAGUUGACCGCCUGGGGAGUACGGUCGCAAGAUUAAAACUCAAAUGAAUUGACGGGGUCGAU